rnacentral:rRNA from 1 species
AGAGUUUGAUCCUGGCUCAGGAUGAACGCUGGCGGCGUGCCUAAUACAUGCAAGUCGAACGAACUUCCGUUAAUUGAUUAUGACGUGCUUGCACUGAAUGAGAUUUUAACACGAAGUGAGUGGCGGACGGGUGAGUAACACGUGGGCAACCUGCCCAGAAGCAGGGGAUAACACCUGGAAACAGAUGCUAAUACCGUAUAACAGAGAAAACCGCCUGGUUUUCUUUUAAAAGAUGGCUCUGCUAUCACUUCUGGAUGGACCCGCGGCGCAUUAGCUAGUUGGUGAGGUAACGGCUCACCAAGGCGAUGAUGCGUAGCCGACCUGAGAGGGUAAUCGGCCACAUUGGGACUGAGACACGGCCCAGACUCCUACGGGAGGCAGCAGUAGGGAAUCUUCCACAAUGGACGCAAGUCUGAUGGAGCAACGCCGCGUGAGUGAAGAAGGGUUUCGGCUCGUAAAGCUCUGUUGUUAAAGAAGAACGUGGGUGAGAGUAACUGUUCACCCAGUGACGGUAUUUAACCAGAAAGCCA